CUCAGUUCGGAUCGGAGUCUGCAACCCGACUCCGUGAAGCUGGAUUCGCUAGUAAUCGCGCAUCAGCCAUGGCGCGGUGAAUACGUUCCCGGGCCUUGUACACACCGCCCGUCAAGCCAUGGAAGCCGGGGGUGCCUGAAGUGUGCAACCGCAAGGAGCGCCCUAAGGUAAAACCGGUGACUGGGGCUAAGUCGUAACAAGGUACC
rnacentral:rRNA from 1 species